rnacentral:rRNA from 1 species
UACGUAGGCAGCGAGCGUUGUUCGGAAUUACUGGGCGUAAAGAGUGUGUAGGCGGUGCUCCCAGUCUGUUGUGAAAUCUCCCGGCUUAACUGGGAGGGUGCAGCGGAAACUAGAGUGCUAGAGGGUGGGAGAGGUAAGCGGAAUUCCCAGUGUAGCGGUGAAAUGCGUAGAUAUUGGGAGGAACACCGGUGGCGAAGGCGGCUUUCUGGUCCGAAACUGACACUGAGAUGCGAAAGCCAGGGGAGCAAACGGG